rnacentral:ribozyme from 12 species
AUGCAUAGAAAGUAAAGAAGGAACAAACUUGAAACAAAAAAAGCAUGCAUUAUUCAUUAAUCAUUCGUGGUCGUCUCUUUUCCUUCGUUUCUAAAUAUAUUCUUUGUCAUUCCUUCGCAAAAAUCUUCCGUAU